rnacentral:rRNA from 1 species
GAGUGAAGCGGCAAAAGCUCAAAUUUGAAAUCGGCCAUCAGGUCGAGUUGUAAUUUGUAGAUUGUACUUUGAGAGCGGAUUAAAGUCUGUUGGAACACAGCGCCUUAGAGGGUGACAGCCCCGUAAAAUCUAUUCUCAUUGUAAGGUACUUUCGAAGAGUCGAGUUGUUUGGGAAUGCAGCUCUAAGUGGGAGGUAAAUUCCUUCUAAAGCUAAAUAUUGACGAGAGACCGAUAGCGAACAAGUACUGUGAAGGAAAGAUGAAAAGCACUUUGAAAAGAGAGUGAAAAAGUACGUGAAAUUGUUAAAAGGGAAGGGUAUUGAAUCAGACGUGGUGCUGUUGUUCAACUUUGUUUCGGCAUGGUGUACUCAGCAGUACUAGGCCAAGGUGGGGUGUUUGGGAGUGAAAAAGGAAUAGGAACGUAGCUCUUCGGAGUGUUAUAACCUAUUUUCAUAGCUCCUCAGGCGCCUCAGGACUGCGCUUCGGCAAGGACUUUGGCAUAAUGAUUCUAUACCGCCCGUCUUGAAACACGGACCA